rnacentral:tRNA from 1 species
GGUGGCUCAGUGGUAGAGCACUUGCCUUGCAUGCAUGAGGUCCUGAGUUUGAUUCCUCAGCACCA